AAACUUUCAGCAACGGAUCUCUUGGUUCUGGCAUCGAUGAAGAACGCAGCGAAAUGCGAUAAGUAAUGUGAAUUGCAGAAUUCAGUGAAUCAUCGAAUCUUUGAACGCACAUUGCGCCCGCCAGUAUUCU
rnacentral:rRNA from 1 species